rnacentral:rRNA from 1 species
UACGUAGGGUGCGAGCGUUAAUCGGAAUUACUGGGCGUAAAGCGUGCGCAGGCGGUUCGUUAAGUCCGCUGUGAAAGCCCCGGGCUCAACCUGGGAAUUGCGGUUGAAACUGGCGAACUAGAAUCUGGCAGAGGGGGGUGGAAUUCCACGUGUAGCAGUGAAAUGCGUAGAGAUGUGGAGGAACACCGAUGGCGAAGGCAGCCCCCUGGGCUAAGAUUGACGCUCAGGCACGAAAGCGUGGGGAGCAAACAGG